UACGUAGGGUGCGAGCGUUGUCCGGAAUUAUUGGGCGUAAAGGGCUCGUAGGCGGUUUGUCGCGUCGGGAGUGAAAACCUCGGGCUUAACUCGGGGCUUGCUUUCGAUACGGGCAGACUGGAGGUAUGCAGGGGAGAACGGAAUUCCUGGUGUAGCGGUGAAAUGCGCAGAUAUCAGGAGGAACACCGGUGGCGAAGGCAGCUCGCUGGGACGGUACUGACGCUGAGGCGCGAAAGCGUGGGGAGCGAACAGG
rnacentral:rRNA from 1 species